GGGAGGAAAAGCAAGCGAGUGAGAAAAGGCUGUGGAGCCAACUUCACAACCAGGCUCUGGAGCAAGCCACAGAGCUUGGUGUUCCUUAAAGUUCUUGCACGCCUGGGGAAAAGGGGACACCCAGGGAAAACUAUUGGGCUUCCUCUUCCUAAAAAUCCGAAUCCUAAACCCUACAAGUGGAAAGGUGAAGUUCCCCAAACCCCACACGCUCCGGGAGCGCACCUCUCACGGAAGGCGCCCACCUCCCCGCGCGCCCUUGGGCAGCCAGCGUCUCAAAGCUCCAGACCUCCAGCCCAGGGCAAAGAGGGCGCCGUAGGAGAGUCUAUGGAAGGUUCCAGAGUGUGGAUCCGUGAAACCUCAAGAAAUUCAAUCAGUGUGGAAGCAGACCUUAUGGAGAGUGGGUCUCUACAUCUUUAUCAUGGAAGAGACUUUAUCCUAACUUGGGGGUAGGAGAGGAGAUGAGGGACAAAGGCCACUGCCUGUGACAGGGCAUGGCCUGGUCAGUGCCUGUUCCCUGACUGAGGCCCAGCCCCCUUCGCCUGUGCCCAUCACCAGUGCCACCAGCAUGUCUGACAAACUGCCAUACAAAGUCGCUGAUAUUGGCCUGGCUGCCUGAGGGUGCAAGGCCCUGGAUAUUGUGGAGAACGAGAUGCUGGGCCUGAUGCGCUUGCAUGAGCAGUACUUGGCCUCCAAGCCACUGAAGGGCACCCACAUUGCCGGCUGCUUGCACAUGACCAUGGAGACAGCUGUCUUCAUUGAGAUCCUUGUCGCCCUGGGUGCUGAGGUGCCGUGGUCCAGCUGCAACAUCUUCUCCACCUAGGACCAUGCAGCGGCUGCCAUUGCCAAUGCUGGCAUUCCAGUGUAUGCCUGGAAGGGUGAAACCGACGAGGUGU
rnacentral:lncRNA from 13 species